ANNNCGGCCCGCGGGAAUUCGAUUAGAGUUUGAUCCUGGCUCAGGACGAACGCUGGCGGCNNNCUUAACACAUGCAAGUCGAACGAUGAUGCCCAGCUUGCUGGNNNGAUUAGUGGCGAACGGGUGAGUAACACGUGAGUAACCUGCCCCUGACUCUGGGAUAAGCGUUGGAAACGACGUCUAAUACUGGAUAUGAUCACUGGCCGCAUGGUCUGGUGGUGGAAAGAUUUUUUGGUUGGGGAUGGACUCGCGGCCUAUCAGCUUGUUGGUGAGGUAAUGGCUCACCAAGGCGACGACGGGUAGCCGGCCUGAGAGGGUGACCGGCCACACUGGGACUGAGACACGGCCCAGACUCCUACGGGAGGCAGCAGUGGGGAAUAUUGCACAAUGGGCGAAAGCCUGAUGCAGCAACGCCGCGUGAGGGAUGACGGCCUUCGGGUUGUAAACCUCUUUUAGUAGGGAAGAAGCGAAAGUGACGGUACCUGCAGAAAAAGCACCGGCUAACUACGUGCCAGCAGCCGCGGUAAUACGUAGGGUGCAAGCGUUGUCCGGAAUUAUUGGGCGUAAAGAGCUCGUAGGCGGUUUGUCGCGUCUGCUGUGAAAUCCCGAGGCUCAACCUCGGGCUUGCAGUGGGUACGGGCAGACUAGAGUGCGGUAGGGGAGAUUGGAAUUCCUGGUGUAGCGGUGGAAUGCGCAGAUACCAGGAGGAACACCGAUGGCGAAGGCAGAUCUCUGGGCCGUAACUGACGCUGAGGAGCGAAAGCAUGGGGAGCGAACAGGAUUAGAUACCCUGGUAGUCCAUGCCGUANACGUUGGGCGCUAGAUGUAGGGACCUUUCCACGGUUUCUGUGUCGUAGCUAACGCAUUAAGCGCCCCGCCUGGGGAGUACGGCCGCAAGGCUAANACUCAAAGGAAUUGACGGGGGCCCGCACAAGCGGCGGANCAUGCGGAUUAAUUCGAUGCAACGCGAANAACCUUACCAAGGCUUGACAUACACCGGAAACGGCCAGA
rnacentral:rRNA from 1 species